rnacentral:rRNA from 1 species
CCUACGGGGGGCAGCAGUAGGGAAUAUUGCUCAAUGGGGGAAACCCUGAAGCAGCAACGCAGCGUGGAGGAUGAAGGUUUUCGGAUUGUAAACUCCUUUUGUUAGAGAAGAUAAUGACGGUAUCUAACGAAUAAGCACCGGCUAACUCCGUGCCAGCAGCCGCGGUAAUACGGAGGGUGCAAGCGUUACUCGGAAUCACUGGGCGUAAAGAGCGCGUAGGCGGGAUAGCAAGUCAGAUGUGAAAUCCUAUGGCUUAACCAUAGAACUGCAGUUGAAACUGUUAGUCUAGAGUAUGGGAGAGGUAGGUGGAAUUCUUGGUGUAGGGGUAAAAUGCGUAGAGAUCAAGAGGAAUACUCAUUGCGAAGGCGACCUGCUAGAACAUAACUGACGCUGAUGCGCGAAAGCGUGGGGAGCAAACAGGAUUAGAUACCCCUGUAGUC